CGAACGGUAACAGGAAGCAGCUUGCUGCUUYGCUGACGAGUGGCGGACGGGUGAGUAAUGUCUGGSAAACUGCCUGAUGGAGGGGGAUAACUACUGGAAACGGUAKCUAAUACCGCAUAACGUCGCARGACCAAAGAGGGGGACCUUCGGGCCUCUUGCCAUCMSAUGUGCCCRGAUGGGAUUAGCUAGUASGUGGGGUAACGGCUCACCUASGCKACSAUCCCUAGCUGGUCUGAGAGGAUGACCAGCCACWCUGSAACUGAKACACGGUCCAGACUCCUACRGGAGGCAGCAGUGGGGAAUAUUGCACAAUGGGCGCAAGCCUGAUGCAKCCRUGCCGCGUGUAUGAAGAAGGCCUUCGGGUUGUAAAGUACUUUCRGCGGGRAGGAAGGCGAUGUGGUUAAUAACCGCGUCGAUUGACGUUACCCGCAGAAGAAGCACCGGCUAACUCCGUGCCASCAGCCGCGGUAAUACRGAGGGUGCAAGCGUUAAUCSGAAUUACUGGGCGUAAAGCGCACGCWSGCGGUCUGUCAAGUCGUGAUGUGAAAUCGCCGGGCUCAACCUGGGAACUGCAUCCGAAACUGGCAGGCUUGAGUCUCGUAGASRGGGGUAGAAUU
rnacentral:rRNA from 1 species